GGGAAAAAUUAUAAUUGGAGAAGAAAUAUUCUCUUUUGUGCCCUAUGGUCUGAAAACUCGUUAACCAAUCAAAUAAAAAUAUAAUAAAAAAGAAGAAGCAUGGUUUGUGAUGCAAAGGAGACACACAGAUUGACAGAUUCUGUGUGCGCAGCGCAGUGUAUAGUUUCAGCGCUGUUCUAAGCAACGCUAAAUAAAGUCAUUCAUUCUUUCUUCACUUUAAGAGAGAAUCACUCCACAAAACAACACAAAAAUAAAUAAAUAGAUAAAUGGAGGAAGAUAAGGCGAAGAAGAGCUCGAGGCUAGUAGAGGCAGCAAACGAGGAGGAGGAGGAGGAGGAGAGGCCGGUACGAGUAUAUGCAGACGGCAUCUACGAUCUCUUCCACUUUGGCCAUGCCCGUUCUCUCGAGCAAGCCAAGAAACUAUUCCCAAACACGUAUUUGGUGGUUGGAUGCUGCAAUGAUGAAGUAACUCACAAAUACAAGGGUAAAACUGUGAUGACUGAUCAAGAACGCUACGAGUCUCUUCGCCAUUGCAGGUGGGUUGAUGAAGUUAUCCCUGAUGCACCAUGGGUUAUCACACAAGAGUUUCUCGACAAACAUAGGAUCGACUAUGUGGCUCAUGACUCUCUUCCUUAUGCUGAUGCAAGUGGAGCCGGAAAGGAUGUCUAUGAAUUUGUCAAGUCUGUGGGGAGAUUUAAGGAAACAAAGCGGACUGAUGGGAUCUCCACGUCAGAUGUUAUAAUGAGGAUAGUUAAAGAUUAUAAUGAGUAUGUGAUGCGUAAUUUGGCACGUGGAUAUACAAGAAAAGAUUUGGGUGUCAGCUAUGUGAAGGAAAAGCGGCUGAGAGUUAACAUGGGGUUUAAAAAGCUGCGUGAGAAAGUGAAGAAACAGCAAGAGAUAGUCGGGGAAAAGAUACAAGUAGUCGCUAAAACAGCCUGUGUGCAUCGGAAUGAGUGGGUGGAGAAUGCUGAUAGAUUGGUCGCUGGAUUUCUUGAAAUGUUUGAAGAACGCUGUCAUAAAAUGGGAACAACUAUCAGAGAGCGAAUUCAAGAGAAACUGACGAAGCAGAAGUUAAUAGGGCUUAUAUAUGAUAGAUACUAUGGUGAUGGUGAUGGUGAUGGUGAUAGUGAUCAGUACUACUACGAUGAUGACACAGAAGAAGAAUACAGUGACUAGGACAUUUGAAUAGCUUCUUUGGUUAUUUAUAAUUGAUAGGAACCGAUACUUCAGUUUUGAUGUUUGUGUAUAAAUAUGUGACGGUUCUCGUUUGGGAGAGGAAUAUUGUUUGCAAAAUUCGUGCUGUCUAAAAUUUGAGAGGACUCAAGCUCUACACUCUUGAAAUGUCUAUGAGUUCAGAACAUCAACAUGAAUUGCACUGUUAGUGAACUGAAGCCAAGAAAGGUAGUGCCAGCAGCAAGAUGGAACUGCAAGAACACGUACGGUAACCUCAAUCUCUCAAAUGAUUUGCAUUUUCACCACAUCCACAUAAUCCUUCCAUUCAAAUCAGCAAGUGGAAUUGAAUGCGAGCAAAGUAGGUGGUGGAUAUGGAUUCCUUAGACGUGCAACGACAAAACACCCCACCAGACAUACAGAAGAAGAGCAAUGUGGCCCUUAUUGUCCUAUGCCAUUAUUGCUUGCUUUAUAUUGUCCUACAGGCUUCUGUGUCAUCAUGUCGAAAAUCCGUGCAAUUGCAAGUCCUUCACACAUACAAGGUGGAGGUACCUUUCAUGAUAUCUUUUUCAGCAACAAAUUUUCUCAUCCA